rnacentral:rRNA from 1 species
AUCAGAUACCGUCGUAAUCUUAACCAUAAACUAUGCCGACUAAGUGUUGGAUGAAAAUUUAUAAAUAAAACUAUCUUCUUUAAAGGAAUAGUUUUUUAGAUGCUUCCUUCAGUACCUUAUGAGAAAUCAAAGUCUUUGGGUUCUGGGGCGAGUAUUCGCGCAAGCGAGAAAGUUAAAAGAAUUGACGGAAGGGCACCACCAGGCGUGGAGCUUGCGGCUUAAUUUGACUCAACACGGGGAAACUCACUAGUUUAAGACAAGAGUAGGAUUGACAGAUUGAUAGCUCUUUCUUGAUUUCUUGGAUGGUGAUGCAUGGCCGUUUUUAGUUCGUGAAUAUGAUUUGUCUGGUUAAUUCCGAUAACGAACGAGAUCUUAACCUGCUAAUUAGCGGCGAGUACGCUAUAUCCUCUAUCGGGGGAUUGGAUCUGACGUUUAUGCGAACUAUGCUUAAUCAAUUGGUUUACCUUUUGCUCUUUUGCAUAUGCUUCUGCAUUUACGUCUUCCUCUCUUCUGGUAAGGAUGUAUUCGCUUUAUUUAAUGCUUCUUAGAGGAACGAUGUGUGUCUAACACAAGGAAGUUUAAGGCAACAACAGGUCUGUGAUGUCCUUAGAUAUACUAGGCUGCACGCGUGCUACACUGAUAUGUAAAACGAGUGCUUAAAUUUAUAUUUGCGCGUGGGUCAUGCCUGCGCGCGAUAUAUUUUUCCUCCACUGAAAAGUGUAGGUAAUCUUUAUCAAUACAUAUCGUGAUGGGGAUAGAUUAUUGCAAUUAUUAAUCUUGAACGAGGAAUGCCUAGUAAGCAUGAUUCAUCAGAUUGUGCUGACUACGUCCCUGCCCUUUGUACACACCGCCCGUCGCUCCUACCGAUUGAAAGAUAUGAUGAAUUG